GAAAAGAACUUUGAAAAGAGAGUUAAAUAGCACGUGAAAUUGUUGAAAGGGAAACGAUUGAAGUCAGUCGUACUUACGAGUAAUCAGCUUUUUAAGUGCGAUCUUGUGGGCAGCUGGGCAUUCAAGGGUUUAACCACUUGUUAACCCUUUACGUUCUCAAGUUUGUGCUUUUCGAGCGUAUUUGCUCGUAUGUAGGUUAACAUCAAUUUAGAUCGUUAUAAAAUAACCGGAGGGAUGUAGCUUCGAUCUCGAUUGAAGUGUUAUAGCCUCUGGUAGAUGUAAUGAUUGAGAUUGAGGAUUGCAACGAAAACCCUAAAGGGUUAUCUGUCUGGUCUCUUAUUGUCUCUUUGGUGCCGGAAGCUUGCUUACGGCUAUUGAGGUUGACGAUCAAUGGAUUAGA
rnacentral:rRNA from 1 species